rnacentral:snoRNA from 1 species
CGCCGGUGAUGACCUCGCCAUGCUAAUACCGACCGGCAUCAGGCCGGGCUGAGUUCUUAUCCAAGGGCUGAGGCGC